rnacentral:rRNA from 1 species
GACUAAGACAUGCUAGUCGAGCGUCUUCAGGCUAUGUUGAGGACGCGGCGUACGGCUCAGUAACACGUGGCCAACCUACCCUUAGGACGGAGACAACCCUGGGAAACUGGGGCUAAUCCCCGAUAGGUGAGGACGCCUGGAAUGGUCUCUCACCCAAAGGACGUUGAAACCAUGCUUUUCAGCGUUGCCUAAGGAUGGAGCCGCGGCCGAUCAGGUUGUUGGUGAGGUAACGGCUCACCAAGCCUAUAACCGGUACGGGCCAUGAGAGUGGGAGCCCGGAGAUGGGCACUGAGACAAGGGCCCAGGCCCUACGGGGCGCAGCAGUUGCGAAACCUCCACAAUGCACGAAAGUGCGAUGGGGCUAACCCGAGUGCCGUCCGCUGAGGAGGGCUUUUCUCCGCUGUAAGGAGGCGGAGGAAUAAGGAGAGGGCAAGACUGGUGUCAGCCGCCGCGGUAAUACCAGCUCUCCGAGUGGUAGGGACGAUUAUUGGGCCUAAAGCGUUCGUAGCCGGCUUGGCAAGUCUUUCGUUAAAUCCAGUGACCUAAUCGCUGGGCUGCGGGAGAUACUGUCAGGCUUGGGAGCGGAAGAGGUCGACGGUAUUCUCGGGGUAGGGGUGAAAU